rnacentral:sRNA from 1 species
AUAAAACUCGAUGGUGCAUUAUUCUAGUUGUACUAGCUAUUAUGAAGGUGGGGCUAAAAAUCCACACAUGAUUUAUUAGAUAAAGUUUCUUAUGUCAUGCGCAAAAUGCCAGUUUUGCGUGGGUAUGGGAAGUAAAGAAUUUAGGAUAGAAUAUAACGGCAUAUAUUUGGAUUCCUAUAUUCAUUAUCACCAGUUCUACUUGUUGUGAUAUAAUCUAUUUUGAGUGUACAUAUCGAAUUGUAUGCGAUAAAUCUGUUUUGAGUGGUAAUCUUGGGAUUAGUCAUUAUUUCAAGAAAAAACGCGGCCACGUUUUCUCUUGAAAGGCUAUGAAAUCAUUAUUGCAAAAGAAACUAAUAAUAGAUUAAGUACAUUAAGGAAAACUUCUAGAAUGUUCGUUUUAAUUGAGAAACUUGGAAAUUUAGGGAUUAAGGUACGGAUUUUAGUGGCGAUCUAGCUGCCCGAAACUUUUAAGGGAUGCUUUUUUAAAUGGAAACAGCUAAGCAGUAAUGCUUAGUAAAAAGUAGAGAAAUUCUGCUAGACCUUAUACCGUAAAAUUUACUUAAAUUUCUACCAUCUUUAAUUC